rnacentral:rRNA from 1 species
AAACAUAGCCUUUAGCCUAACAAGUAUUAAAGGUCUAGCCUGCCCAGUGACUAUUUUAACGGCCGCGGUAUCCUAACCGUGCAAAGGUAGCGUAAUCAUUUGUCUCCUAAAUAGGGACUUGUAUGAACGGCUAACUGAGGGCCCAACUGUCUCCUUAGACCAAUCAAUGAAACUGAUCUUUCAGUACAAAAGCUGAAAUAAACCCAUAAGACGAGAAGACCCUGUGGAGCUUUAAACCCUCACUAUAAACACAACCCCUACCCCAAAGGUACACAUUUACCCCUAAUAGUAAAGGUCUUCAGUUGGGGCGACUUUGGAAUAAAAUAAAACUUCCAUGCCAGGGAAAUCCCCUAUUAAGGCUAACACGCCAAAAUAAAACUUUAUUGACCCAGCCUGUCUGAUCAACGAACCAAGUUACCCCAGGGAUAACAGCGCCAUCCUCUUCAAGAGUUCCUAUCGACAAGAGGGUUUACGACCUCGAUGUUGGAUCAGGACACCCCGGUGGUGCAGCCGCUACCAAAGGUUCGUUUGUUCAACGAUUAACAGU